CCCGGCCGCGCAGGGGAGGGGGAGGGGAGCGGGAAGAGGAGGGGGCAGCCCUGACUCGCAGGCUGCCAAUUAACACUCUCCGGGUGGCGUCUUCGGAUGCGGGCAUCUUCCCUUGGCAAUCUUGCAGAGACUGGACACCAACGUGACCAGCUCCUUGCCAUCACUCUACAGAAGGGGAAACUGAGGCUCAGAAGCCUUCAGCGGAGAAGCACAGCUCCACUCGCUGGUCUAGUCCCAUCUGCCUUCACACCCGUGAGAACCCCUUCCCUUCCAGCCCCUGAGGCAGCCCUCUGCUGCUGACCCACUCCUACUCUCCCCCAGGACUCCAGACCCACUCACUUCCAACCAGAGCUUUAGUGGCCCUGGGACCCCUGCCCAGGCACCUUGUACUGGGAAUCAGAGGACCCAAGUUCAACCCUGGUUGAACUUCAGUCCCAGAGUCAAGAGGCAACUCUCUGGGCCCCAGUUGCUCCAAGCUCUAGAAUGGGGAGCUGUUCUGAGACUGCAGAGAUGAUACUUGUGAAGGCUCUGUGUGAACUCCCAUGGUGGGGGGAGGGGGGGUCCUGAAUUUUUGACUUCCUUCUUAGUCCUUAGCUUCUACCACCUGCGAGCUGGACAGGAGCACUUCCCAAAGUCAUGCCAGACACCAAGAGCCCCACAUUUAGUUCUGGGGUUCUCAUGGACCCCUGCUUUCUCCUGCCCUCUUGGCCUACUAUGGGAAGGGUCCUGGAGCUGGGGAAGCCUCCCAAAGCUGGGACUGGAUUCCAUUCUUCACCUACACAGUCUUCUAUUGAGCGCCUCUUGAAGGCCAGGUGCUGCGAGACAGUAGAAGACCAGGUCCUUCCUCACGUUCUUGGGGAUGGAG